AACGUAGGUGGCAAGCGUUGUCCGGAAUUACUGGGUGUAAAGGGAGCGCAGGCGGAAGGACAAGUUGGAAGUGAAACCCACGGGCUCAACUCGUGAACUGCUUUCAAAACUGUUUUUCUUGAGUGGUGUAGAGGUAGGCGGAAUUCCCGGUGUAGCGGUGGAAUGCGUAGAUAUCGGGAGGAACACCAGUGGCGAAGGCGGCCUACUGGGCACUAACUGACGCUGAGGCUCGAAAGCAUGGGUAGCAAACAGG
rnacentral:rRNA from 1 species